AUUGAACGCUGGCGGCAGGCCUAACACAUGCAAGUCGAGCGGCGUGGCGGACGGGUGAGUAACGCCUAGGAAUUUGCUUGGUCGUGGGGGACAACCUCUGGACAUUGGCGUUAAUACCGCACAUUAUCAGUCGAGCCUAGGUCGGAGUAGCUAGUUGGGGGGGUAAAGGCCUACCAAGGCGACGAUCCGUAACUGGUCUGAGGGGAUGGUUAGUCACACUGGAACCGAGGCACGGUCCAGACUCCUACGGUGGGCAGCAGUAGGGAAUAUUAGACGAUGGGCGAAAGCCUGAUCCUGCCAUGCCGCGUGAGUGAAGAAGGUCUUCGGAUUGUGGAGCUCUUUAAGUUUGAAAGCGUUACCAACAGAAUAAGCACCGGCUAACUUCGUGCCAGCAGCCGCGGUAAUUC
rnacentral:rRNA from 1 species